UUCACUUCCUAACACCCUAAACACUUUUUUAAAAGUUAAAUGUAUGGACCACAAAGGCCUUUUUAUUAAAUCAAAUAAUAAUAAUAAUAAUAGAUAGUGCCACAAGACCAUCCCACUAAAAUAAACAAAAAUCCUUUCAGUACAGAAGAAAAGAAAGAAAGAAAUGAUACAAAGAAGCUUCAGGAAACGUCUUCCAUGGCCACCCAAGCUUCAUUGUCAUGUCGGACGAAGGCAUGGACUGCCUUAGAGCAAGAUCCGUUCUUCUAAGGCUGAAACCAACUGAGUUUGGAUCGUUUCCACACAAGACACUCAAAAGCUCUCACGAAUUUCAUGGAAUCAAAUCCACUAAAUACUUCUUCAACUCAGCUCGAACAGCUCAGAUGUUGAUGAAUUCAGGAACAACUGCCACUGUUUCAGCUUCUACACAAGAGUGACUAUCUUCCAAUGCCAUCUGUGAGUCCCCUCUGAAAGUCCAAGAGGGGGGCGGGGUGAAUUGCUUCUUUUUAUUUUUCUGAGUAAUAGUCAACUAAUACAGCUUAGUAGUCGACUGCAGUUGACAGAACUUAUAAUGAAAGUGCAGGAAGUAAAACUUGAAACAAGAUGUUUUAUAUUGUUUGGGAUCCAAUGUGGAUCUUACUCCAGUCCCCUUGAGUUACAAGGGUGUUGUCUUCUUAGCCCUUUGAUGUCUUGAAUGAGUACAGUGUUUUAUGAGAAUGUCCUAUGAAUACUCUCUAUCUUUUC